AAAAUUCAUUAGUGCCAGGUCAUUGAUAGCCCUGAGGUUCACAUGCUGAACGGGGGAGGAGGAGCGGGAGGAAGAGGAGCGAGACGUGAGCUAGAUUGAGUUUCCUUGGCGACCGAAGGGACCCACUUGGGGCGAUGACUCUGGAGAAUGCAGCAUGCACACUUGAGAGCGCUCAGGGCCUGAGGACCUGUGAAUGAGGAGGGCACCACUGAAACCAACUCCAGUUUCAGG